GACGAACGCUGGCGGCGUGCUUAACACAUGCAAGUCGAGCGAUGAAGCUCCUUCGGGAGUGGAUUAGCGGCGGACGGGUGAGUAACACGUGGGUAACCUGCCUCAUAGAGGGGAAUAGCCUUCCGAAAGGAAGAUUAAUACCGCAUAAGAUUGUAGUGCUGCAUGGUAUAGCAAUUAAAGGAGCAAUCCGCUAUGAGAUGGACCCGCGUCGCAUUAGCUAGUUGGUGAGGUAACGGCUCACCAAGGCGACGAUGCGUAGCCGACCUGAGAGGGUGAUCGGCCACAUUGGGACUGAGACACGGCCCAGACUCCUACGGGAGGCAGCAGUGGGGAAUAUUGCACAAUGGGGGAAACCCUGAUGCAGCAACGCCGCGUGAGUGAUGACGGUCUUCGGAUUGUAAAGCUCUGUCUUCAGGGACGAUAAUGACGGUACCUGAGGAGGAAGCCACGGCUAACUACGUGCCAGCCGCCGCAGUAA
rnacentral:rRNA from 1 species